rnacentral:rRNA from 1 species
AUGCAGGUGAGCGACGCGGUCAACACGGGGAGGCGGCGGCAUCUCGAGGGAACGGUGAUGGCCAAGUUGUGGGCUCCGACGGGGCUGCUGUGGAUCUGGCGGAUGGCAGCAGGAUCGGGUCGACGACGGACGGCUCCGGCAAGAGUCGGAGGGACGACGGCGGCGGCUGAGCUCCUCCAUGGCCUGCUGCGGUUCCAGGGAGAACAGAAGGAAGGGAGGGGAGGAAGGGCACGGCCAGCAGGCUCUCACCUCUCUUACCUCCAUGCCGCCGUCGACACAACCCCCGAGCCUAGACCACGACCCAUGCGACUGGACCCCGCUGAUGCCGGCGGCGGUGCCGGGUUCCAUGAUCUAUUCGACUUCAUGUGUCGAAUCAUCAAGUCCGCACCAGCACUCCGCCGGGCCCCUCAGUGGGAUCGGCAGUCCCUCGCCGCCACAACACCUGCAGUCGCGGACGGCCGUACCUGUCGACGGGAGCGGCUGAGCAGGGGACAUCCCGCCGAUCCGAUGGUGGAAGGGCAAGAUAAUGGGCAAGUCUACCUCGGGUUGAAUCUGGACACCAGCGAGCUCCUUGCAGUAAACCAGGUGCUGGACUUUUGUGUUUUGUUUAUCAGGUUUGCACUGUGUGAAUCACGCCGGUCUGGCUCUCACCCCUCUUUGACCUCCAUGCCGCAGUUGGGCGCUCCUCCGAAACAAGAUUAUCGCGUCCAGGAACGUGGAGAGAUGGUGGGCUCCAAGCCCAUGGUGAUUUUAUUGUGCUUGCAGCUUGAGAUGUACUUGGUCCAAAUGACAAUCAUCAUUUUGAAGGUAAGAGCAAAUGUAAUAUUGUUCUCAUCAAUUUCUUUCAUAGCAUGUGUAAUGCGUUAUAACAUCAGUUUCAUUGGAUUGGAAAAGAGACAAAAUCCAACCUUAAUUCCCCCAUUCAGAUCAGGAAAUAUUGGGGUUAACAGUUUGCGAUUGGAACGGGUCAAGCCGGUUAGCGCGGCCCGGCGUGAGGCUAGAUCCUGGGAACAGGAUUGCGUGGGUAAAGCAAAGCACACACUGUACAGCGCCAAACCAGGUCAGGUCGUCCCUCGCAGCAACAAAACAUUUUCCGGACGCGGCGCAACCGGAAUCGCCUUCAUUGCUGAGAACGCUCUAUUGGCAUUUCAGCAACUCAUGUCGAGAUCUCCUAUUACAGCUAGAUCAAUGGAGGGGCGGGAUUGCGACUCAGCAUCGGAGAGCUUCUCUAAGCACGUCAGUGGGCAAAUGUUCCGAGUCAAUGCCCUCCUUGUGGUGAACGCCAUCCUGAUGGGAGUCAUGGUUGGCACAGGUGCAUACGGCCAUCGCUAUCGCCACCAUCCAUUAACCCGCUACAUCUUCUUGGGUGCCACUGCAUUGUUCAUUCCCAUAAUCUCCUAUGUCCUAUCUGCCAUUGGUAAUCAGAAUGGCAUUAUCCUUUUUGCCGCUGGAGAAAUCAUAAUAGGCCAGUGCGAUCCAAGUAGACACAUGAACCUAGUCUUAUUAUGGACUGGCCUUGUUCAAAUGGUUGGUAUCAGCACCACUUUGAUAGUGGUCAGUGAUCCUAGAGAAGGGCGAAACAUUGGCCCAUCUGGGGUACUACUUGUGCAGGCAAUGUGGACUUCCUACCUUAUGAUCUAUAACAUAGGAUUGAAUUAUGAUGUAUCAUCCUACAAUAAUACUCGUAGCUACCUCAAGUGGUCUCUGGUAUAUGCAUUUUCUCUAGAAGGAUUGAAGGUUAUCCCACCAUUUGCUCUCACCUUUGCCAAGUUACUUUUCAAGUGUUUUGCAUGGUACAAGGCCAGAAAAUCAUUAGCAAUUGGAUGCAAUCCUCGUCUUAUUGUUGGAUACAUGGAGGAGCUACAAGACACCGACAUGACAAACAGUUACUGGGAUAUACCUCCCCCACUAAUACUUUGCCUGAUGCCCAACAUAGGUGGCUUAGUGACCAUUGACAAAGUUUGGCAGCUGGAUGACAUGCAUGAUCUCAAGUUGACAUCACGGCUCAAAGAUGUAUGCCUCUCCUUCGCACUGUCCAAGCUUUUAAGGUGUCGGUUCACCAGAUGCAAGAUACUCAAGCAUUUUGAGGACAAAAUGAACCAAUGUUCAAUACUGGUGCUCCACCAAACGAAGACUCCAAUGAGACUUCUUCAUCUUCUUAAACCUGGUCAGAAGGUCAAGGUGCCAAGAGAGGUGAAGGCUGCUAUCAUGAAUGCACUGAGAAGCUAUGAGGGAAGCCGAGACAAUAACCGCAUUCCAUGUUUGAUCACGAGGCCACAAUUCAAGACCGGCGACAACCUCCUUUGGGUGGUUGAUGGCACAAAAGCUAAAGUGGAGUAUCAGCAGUUGGUGGAGCUGAUGAGCGCUUCACAGAAUCAUGAGGUGCUCAAGGAUGGUGCCAAGCUCGGACAACAGUUGGCGGAGCUGAACCAAGGAGAGACCAACAAGGGAGACGCGCGCGUGUCACACGGCAUCUCUCGGCUCAUCCACCGGUUGAUUCGUAGGAAAUUCGACUGUGGCAUGAUCAGCUCACUGCUCACGGAUGGAUGCGGCAGCGCACCGCUCCUCCAGACGGCUCGACUGAUUGAUACCCGCCCGUUGUUCUUUAUAACUUUUGUCCUUUACGAUCAAGCAAUGUAG